rnacentral:tRNA from 2 species
GCCGAAGUGGCGGAAUGGCAGACGCGCUACGUUCAGGGCGUAGUGUCCAUAACGGGCGUGAGAGUUCAAAUCUCUCCUUCGGCACCA